rnacentral:pre_miRNA from 14 species
UUCAGGGUCACCAAGGUGUCGAUCUUAUCUCAAACGGGAACUGAAAGAUCCCAUGCAGAGAGACCCUUACUCAAGUCUUGGGAAAUUGCGGACCCCAGACACAGAGAGACCA